rnacentral:rRNA from 1 species
GACGAACGCUGGCGGCGUGCCUAAUACAUGCAAGUCGAGCGAAAAUUUUCUGGUUCUUUCACCGGAAAAACUUAGCGGCGGACGGGUGAGUCACACGUAAAGAACCUUCCUCAUAGACUUGAAUAACUAUUGGUAACGAUAACUAAUACCGGAUAAUAGCAUUAACUGCUUGGUUUUUGUUUAAUACUUGGUUUUGCUAACACUAUGAGAUUGCUUUGCGUUGCAUUGGCUAGUUGGUGGGGUAAAGGCCUACCAAGUCGACGAUGCAUAGACGAACUGAGAGGGUGGUCGGCCACCUUGGGACUGAGACGCGGACAAGACUACUGAGAGAGGCAGCAGUAGGGAAUGUUACGCAAUGGGCGAGAGCAUGACGGAGCAACGCGGAGUGAGUGAAGGAGGAUUUCGGUUCGUAAAGAUCUGUUGUUAGGGAAGAAUGAUUGUGUAGUAACUAUAAACAGUAGAGACGGUACCUAACCAGAAAGCAACGGCUAACUACGUG